rnacentral:lncRNA from 1 species
ACUCUGACACCAUCAACCGCCAUACUUUGCACUGCAUGGGAUUUACUAAGAUUGAUGGUGGUUGGACUAAAGGUGUAGAAGAGAGAGCUGAGGACAGAGCUGAGGAGGAAGGUCCUUCAUCACCUCUCCAUGAUCACAGGGCUGUAUCUCCAGACAUUCAGUUUGUUUCGGAUCACGAGGCUGGCCCAUAAAAAUCUACGAGGAGGCACACUCUAGUCUAGCAGCC